rnacentral:rRNA from 1 species
CGGGCGAGGUUGCUUCGGUAACUGAGCUAGCGGCGGACGGGUGAGUAAUGCUUAGGAAUCUGCCUAUUAGUGGGGGACAACAUUCCGAAAGGAAUGCUAAUACCGCAUACGCCCUACGGGGGAAAGCAGGGGAUCUUCGGACCUUGCGCUAAUAGAUGAGCCUAAGUCAGAUUAGCUAGUUGGUGGGGUAAAGGCCUACCAAGGCGACGAUCUGUAGCGGGUCUGAGAGGAUGAUCCGCCACACUGGGACUGAGACUCGGCCCAGACUCCUACGGGAGGCAGCAGUGGGGAAUAUUGGACAAUGGGCGCAAGCCUGAUCCAGCCAUGCCGCGUGUGUGAAGAAGGCCUUUUGGUUGUAAAGCACUUUAAGCGAGGAGGAGGCUACUUGGAUUAAUACUCUAGGAUAGUGGACGUUACUCGCAGAAUAAGCACCGGCUAACUCUGUGCCAGCAGCCGCGGUAAUACAGAGGGUGCGAGCGUUAAUCGGAUUUACUGGGCGUAAAGCGUGCGUAGGCGGCUUCUUAAGUCGGAUGUGAAAUCCCUGAGCUUAACUUAGGAAUUGCAUUCGAUACUGGGAAGCUAGAGUAUGGGAGAGGAUGGUAGAAUUCCAGGUGUAGCGGUGAAAUGCGUAGAGAUCUGGAGGAAUACCGAUGGCGAAGGCAGCCAUCUGGCCUAAUACUGACGCUGAGGUACGAAAGCAUGGGGAGCAAACAGGAUUAGAUACCCUGGUAGUCC